rnacentral:rRNA from 1 species
AACGUAGGUCACAAGCGUUGUCCGGAAUUACUGGGUGUAAAGGGAGCGCAGGCGGGAAGACAAGUUGGAAGUGAAAUCCAUGGGCUCAACCCAUGAACUGCUUUCAAAACUGUUUUUCUUGAGUAGUGCAGAGGUAGGCGGAAUUCCCGGUGUAGCGGUGGAAUGCGUAGAUAUCGGGAGGAACACCAGUGGCGAAGGCAGCCUACUGGGCACCAACUGACGCUGAGGCUCGAAAGUGUGGGUAGCAAACAGG